CAGGACAAUCGGGACUGGGAUCGGGGUUUGGAACUGGGGUGGGAUCGGGACGAGGAUCGGGAUGCCGGCAGAGGGUCCGGCGGGCCGGGCCGGGCUCAGGGCGAACAUGGCGGCGGUUCUGAGGGGGGAGCCCUGAGGGACGGCCCCUGAGGGGGUCUGCGGGCACGGACACCCGGCUGGGACGGUCGGUGUCGCGCGGGUCGGACACGAGCCUUUCCUGAGGAUAAUUCACGUGUUUGUUUAUUCUCGGUCUCGCAGCAACCCCCGGGCUGGCAGCGGCGCUGGAAUCACGCACCGCGAUCCAAAUUAGCACAAACCUGCCCGCAGAACGCGGCACAGGCACCGGCAGCCAUCCAGGGAAUGCUGGCUUGAAGAAGGAUGUCAAUAGUCACAGUCCAGCUUGGGCAGUGUGGGAACCAGAUUGGGCACGAGGUGUUUUGCUGCCUGUGCAGCGACAUCCGUGGCACUCACGGGCUCUGCUCCAAGAAGGAAAACCAAUCCUACCAGGAUGCCUGCAAGGAGAGGUUUUUCUGGGAGGAGGAAUCUGGAGUGCCUGUGGCCCGGGCUGUGCUGGUUGACAUGGAGCCCAAAGUCAUCAGCCAAACCUUAUCCAUGGCUACCAGGUCUGGCUGCUGGAAGUACAACAACCAGUCCCACUUCUGCCAGAAGCAAGGCUCUGGGAACAACUGGGCCAACGGUUACUCUGUCCAUGGGCCCAGACACAAGGAAUCAAUCAUGGAUCUGGUGCAGAAAGAAGCAGAGAGAUGUGACCGACUGGGAGGAUUUUUCACCAUCAUGAGCAUGGCUGGGGGCACAGGGUCAGGCCUGGGAGCGUUUGUGACCCAGUGCUUGAGAGAUGCUUUUCCAACCUCAUUUAUCCUAAACCACGUUAUCUGGCCCUAUGGCACUGGUGAGGUCAUUGUUCAAAACUACAACUCUGUUUUGACUCUGUCACAUCUGUACCGGUCCUCAGACGCCCUCCUUGUCCACGAGAACGAUGUCAUCCACAGGAUCUGUGCCCAGCUGAUGAACAUCAAACAGAUCUCCUUCAGGGAUGUGAACCAAGUCAUUGCACAUCAGCUGGGCAGCGUUUUCCAGCCCGUUCACCCAGGAGAGGGGGGCUCAAACUACAGCAGGAACCCACUGGGAGACUUGAUGGAGACGCUGGUCCCACAUCCCGAGUUCAAGAUGUUGGGUCUCCGGAACAUUCCUCAGAUUCCUGAGAACUCCCUCCCCUACAGCACCUUCAGCUGGCCUGGGCUCAUCAAACAUCUGAGGCAGAUGCUCAUUGCUCAUGCCCAGAUGGAGGAAGGUAUUGACUGGCAAGUCCGACCACCUCCUCCAGGCUCCUCCACCCCCUCCAGCCAUUCCACAAAGAAGCCACUGCACUUCAACACUUCCAUUGCCAACCUGGUUAUCCUGAGAGGAAAAGAUGUGCACAGCGUGGACUUGGGAAGUUUCCAAGAUCCCUCCCUGUACACAUCAUGGCUAAAACCUCAGGAUGCUUUUAAUGCCUGGAGAACACCAAGAGCAUUUAACAAGUAUGAAAAGUCUGCCUCUCUGGUCAGCAACAGCCAGUUCCUGCUGAAACCUCUCGACAGCGUUGUGGGAAAAGCUUGGAAUAUGUUUGCUUCCAAAGCUUAUAUUCACCAGUACACCAAAUUUGGAAUUGAAGAGGAAGAUUUCCUGGACAGCUUCACAACCCUGGAACAAGUUAUCUCCAAUUACACCACCCUUUGAUUUUAUUUCUUUUAAAUGGUCAGAAAUAGAGCUUUUACCUGAAAGAACCCAGCACUGGAAAACCUCCCAUUAACUUCCUGAAGUAUGGAAAUGUCUGGGCUGGAGCUGGUUUUCAGUCUUGAAAGCAGUGUGUGUGUGUGUUAGAACAGCAAGAACUGACUCUGAGCUGAAUAUAUUCCUAUGGCAGAAAGAAACUGGAGGAAAGGUUGCACAAGCUGAGACAAACAGCACAGGCACUGCAAGGAACAAAGGGUCAGGAAAGGAGACCCUGGUGAGCUUCUCCCUCCUGCAGGAGGCCCAGGAUGUUCAGCCACACAGACACCCCUGUCCCUGGUGUUCCCAACAGAUCCCAGGCUGAUCAGAAAUGGGGAACUGCACGUCUGGAACAAGGGCCAAGUCCCAGCAAUGCCUCCUCCUGUCCCACAGAACAGGUAAAUGAGGUGUUUAAAAAGCUAAAGGCAGAUAAGUCCUCUGAGAAACAAGGAAGAGAGCAAAGGGUUAUUGAUCCAGCAGCACCAUAACCCACUUUAUUGCAGAAAUAACCUGUUAUCUCCGUGUAUUUAUAAUUCUGAGCAUGAAGCAAAGGCAGCAGGUGCUCAGUGGAUGACACAGCCCCAUAUUUAUCAGUUAUGGCUCAUGGGAUUUCCAGGUAAUGCAGCAGGUUACUGGAAGGGGUUUUUUUUUGUUUAAGUUUGAUGGCAGGAUUGAUGCCAUGUCAGGAAACACAGCACACAGCUGAGAUGCACAACCCCAGAGCAAAAAUGAAGAUUUCCUUAUUUAACAAAAGAAAACAGAGAGGGAAAGGUUCUGCAGCUCACAGACACAGCCAGGCCAGCAGGGUCAUCACUGCUUAGCAAGGGCUGCUCUGUAAGGACUUGUUCACAGUCAGGAUUCAGGGAAAACACUCCUAAUUCCACGUGAAAACAACAUUUUUAAAAGCAGCAAUAGAGGAUCACAACCAUCAGCCAAAGUUUGACGACAGAGGUUUCUCAAAAAUAUUAAAAAAAAAAAGAGUUGAAAACAAAAGUGUAAAUGUUGCAUUAUCUGUUAUAAUCCCCUCCACUGCUCUGCCAGAGCCUGACAGGAGCUGUUUGAGGCAUCUCUAGGCUUCUUCCUGUGGCUGUUUUUCACUGCUGACCUCAGUCCUGAAAUUCUCACACCCUUUCCCAAACCCAGCCUUCAGUUUUUGAUCUAUGACAGGAUUCCUCUGGGUUUUUUUUUUCCCCAGGAUGUGCAGAGGAUCAGAGUGGCAGGAAGUGAAUAGCUGGUAUCAAAGAGUCAUAAUUUACACUUGUAUUAGAAGGUGGAGCAGUACUUUUCUAUUUUAUUGAUAAAAUUAAUCACGGGGAUAGUCAGAGCCUGGAAGAGGGCCUUUAUUUCAUUAGCAAUUAAAGUUAAUGAGGUGGAUCAAAGGUCAGCACAAGCCAAUGGCUCAGUGACAGGAACAACAGAAUCAGUGGCCUUGACCUUGCUGGUUUUAGGCAAAGUCCCCACAGGAUGUCCAUAAACCUGGAACAAUGCACCAAACCUCACUAUUGUUGUUGGGAGGGACAGGUGCAGCUCACUUGGAAGUUGAUUCAAGGACUCCAACUACAGAAAAAAAACAAACAAACCCAAAAAAACCCAAACAAAUCACCAAAAAAAUUCCAACCCAGAAACAAAAACCUUCAAUAACCUAAAAUAUUUUAAACACAAUAAGUGGCAAGUGACAGUAGUUAAUGUAUUUAUAGAUAUGAUUUAUUUGGCUAUAAGCAGAUAUUGGUUCUUUAAGGUCAGACUCACUACCAGUAUGGGAAGGAUAAAACUGGGGGUAAAUAUAUAAGGGGGAAAAAAAAUCUGUGGUUCCCACACCAACCAGGAAUUUAUCAACAUGAAAGUUAUAUUCAAAUUACCAGCUGAUACACUGCUGGGAGAAAUUAAGGUAUAAAAGGAUGAAUUAUUCACUUCCUUCUGCAUUUGCUAAGAAAUUUAGUCUGGAUAAAUAUUGUGAAGUGAGAGACUAAACAUCCAAAAAGAAACACUCUCAGAUGAAGAAAUGUGAGUUUUGCUGGACACCACUUUAAAACCUGUACAGGAGUCAUCAGGGAAGUGAUUCAUGGAUCCGAUUUAGCACAAAAAAAGCUUCCAAAAGGAACUGAGCUGCUGCCUUUCCUCCGCUGCUUCCAAGGGCAGCCCGGACCCAGCUUCGCCAAGGCAGCAAAUUCCAGCUUCCUGCUGCAGCCUCUGCUUCCCACCCCAGCUCUGCCCACGCUCCGGACCCUCGGCUUUGAACCGGCCCGGCCGCGGAGCUGAGAAUCCCGAAUUUUACCCGGGGAGCUUUUCCGGCUCUUUCAGCGGAGCCGCAGCUCACAAUGGUCCCUUCGGAGCCCACAUUGUGCGGGUCCCGUCCCUCCAGACGGGCACUUCCCCUCCGCGGGAGGGGACGUGAGUCACACACGGCCGUGAAUCAGCACAACCUGCCCCUUAACCCUUUCCCUCGGCACAUCCAGGAACCCCUUCCCGGGGCUCUCCAAACAAAUCCUCCUGCCAGGCCCAGGGGAGCACCCUGGACAGGGUGAAAACGGCCUCAGGGAGGAGAUCAGUGAAGCUGCUCCUGCUCCUUAGGAAAUG